AUCAUCACUCUCCUGGAUUCCAUAAACCCUGAAAAGUGAAAACCUCUCUCCCUCUCUUCUCAAGUCUCUCUCUCUAAAAACACUCUUUCACCUUAAACCGUAGUCCCAAAUGUUCCGAGCUCUCCAUCUCAGGCGAUCCCUCCACCAAUCCCUCCACCACCAAAACACCACCACCCCACACUCCCUCCCCCUCAAAAUCCUAACCACCACCAUUCCUCCCCAAAACCCCAAACUCACCCGGCCAUUUUGCUCCACACCACCACCACUCCCCCCCUCUUCCUCCUCCGAAUCCGAGCUCCGCAAGUACCUCGGCUACGCCGCCCUCCUCCUCGGCUGCGGCAUCGCCACCUACUACUCCUUCCCCUUCCCCGAAAACGCCAAGCACAAAAAGGCCCAACUCUUCCGCUACGCCCCGCUCCCCGACGACCUCCACACCGUUUCCAACUGGAGCGGGACCCACGAAGUCCAAACUAGGGUUUUCCUCCAACCCGAAUCGCUCCCCGAACUCGAGGCCAUUGUGAGGGAUGCUAAUCAGAAGAAGCAGAAGAUUCGGCCGGUCGGGUCGGGCCUGUCGCCGAAUGGGAUCGGGUUGACGAGGCUGGGGAUGGUGAAUUUGGCACUGAUGGAUAAGGUUUUGGAGGUGGAUGAGGAGAGGAAGAGGGUUAGGGUGCAGGCUGGCAUUAGGGUGCAGCAGCUUGUGGAUGGGAUUAAGGAUUAUGGGCUUACGUUGCAGAAUUUCGCGUCGAUUCGGGAGCAGCAGAUUGGGGGUAUUGUUCAGGUUGGCGCACAUGGAACUGGUGCAAGGUUGCCUCCUAUCGAUGAGCAGGUCAUCAGCAUGAAACUGGUUACUCCUGCCAAAGGGACGAUAGAGCUUUCAAAAGAGAAAGAUCCUGAACUCUUCUAUCUUGCUCGCUGCGGACUAGGGGGCCUUGGCGUUGUAGCAGAAGUAACUCUUCAGUGUGUUGAUAGACAAGAGCUACUGGAGCACACUUUUGUUUCAAACAUGAAAGAAAUAAAGAAAAAUCACAAGAAAUUGCUAUCGGAGAACAAGCAUGUGAAGUAUCUUUAUAUUCCAUAUACUGACACUGUUGUGGUUGUGACGUGCAACCCUUUCUCCAAAUGGAAAGGUCCUCCCAAGUUUAAACCAAAAUAUAGUCAAGAUGAAGCUAUACAGCCUCUUCGUGACUACUACCAAGAGUCUCUCAAGAAGUACAGAGGUGAAGGGAAUGUUGCCAAAUCUCCGGACAAAGGUGAAGCAGACAUAAGUGAGCUUUCAUUUACUGAGCUAAGAGAUAAAUUACUUGCCCUGGAUCCUCUCAACAAAGACCAUGUGGUAAAGGUCAAUCAGGCUGAGGCAGAGUUUUGGAGGAAGUCAGAAGGAUACAGAGUAGGCUGGAGUGAUGAAAUUCUUGGCUUUGAUUGUGGUGGCCAACAGUGGGUAUCGGAGACAUGUUUACCUGCUGGAACCUUAUCAAAGCCCAGUAUGAAAGAUCUUGAAUACAUAGAAGAGCUGAUGCAACUUAUAAACAAGGAACUGAUACCUGCACCUGCUCCUAUAGAACAGCGGUGGACAGCUCGCAGCAAGAGCCCCAUGAGCCCCGCUUCAAGCAAAUCAGAGGAUGAUAUUUUCUCUUGGGUUGGUAUAAUUAUGUACCUUCCUACAGCGGAUGCUCGCCAGAGGAAAGAAAUAACUGAGAAGUUUUUCCACUACAGGCAUUUGGCCCAAACACAGUUGUGGGAUCGGUAUUCUGCUUAUGAACAUUGGGCUAAGAUUGAGAGAGAACAAGACGAUGCAGUAAACUGGUUCCUAAGGACAAGGAAGAGCUUGCAACUUUGCGAGCAAGGUUGAGGAAGCGUUUUCCAGUGGAUGCGUACAAUAAAGCACGAAGUGAAUUGGACCCCCAUCGGAUCCUUUCUAAUAACAUGCUGGAGAAGCUAUUCCCACAGUCGGAUACAAUUUGAGAAUCACUGCUGCCUGAUAUUGCCCUAAAAGAGUCAUCUUUCAGCAGCAUUCUUCACAGAUAAAACAGCAACACAGAGCAGCAAGGCUGCAAAACAGAAGAGUAAAUCAAUUAUCAAAACAUUGAUGAUUUUUUUUAAAAUAAAAAAACCUGAUCAGCCUUCUAUAUGAAGGGAAUGGGUAAGUCCGCAGUUAAUGUGAGCACAUCGUUUUUGAGAUUUAUCUCGUAUAGCUUUGUGGUGGUUCAUAAACUCAGUUCAGGUAAAACGGGUGGUGAAAUACCGAACAUUUGAUCACCCCGACCAUCACUUCAGAAGUUUACGAUUUAAGAGUUCUUUGGCAGUAACAACAUCAGUUUUCCAAAUUCAGUCGUAUGACUUUGGUCGUAGUGCUUCUUUCGCUGUUUUUUAGCAUCAAUUCGAGGUGUGUUCAAACUCUUUGAAUUCUCUCCUAUGUCAUGUGAAGUUCUUGUAUUUUUGCCUAUAUAGAACAACUACUUUGGAUUUUUCAUUGUACAGAGUCUACUUAGAAUUGAUUGUGUUGAUCCUCAUAUGCGAAA